GAUGAACGCUAGCGGGAGGCUUAACACAUGCAAGCCGAGGGGUAUAUAGUUUUCGGAUUAUAGAGACCGGCGCACGGGUGCGUAACGCGUAUGCAACCUACCUUGAUCUGGGGGAUAGCCCGAAGAAAUUCGGAUUAACACCGCAUAAAAUCACAGUACCGCAUGGUACAAUGAUCAAAUAUUUAUAGGAUUGAGAUGGG
rnacentral:rRNA from 1 species